CGGUGUAACGGACCACCAAGACGACGAUGCGUAGGGGUUCUGAGAGGAAGGUCCCCCACACUGGUACUGAGACACGGACCAGACUCCUACGGGAGGCAGCAGUGAGGAAUAUUGGUCAAUGGGCGGGAGCCUGAACCAGCCAAGUCGCGUGAGGAAUGACGGCCCUAUGGGUUGUAAACCUCUUUUGCCGGGGAGCAAAGUGCCGCACGUGUGCGGUUUGGAGAGUACCCGGAGAAAAAGCAUCGGCUAACUCCGUGCCAGCAGCCGCGGUAAUACGGAGGAUGCGAGCGUUAUCCGGAUUUAUUGGGUUUAAAGGGUGCGUAGGCGGACGCUUAAGUCAGCGGUAAAAUUGCGGGGCUCAACCUCGUCGAGCCGUUGAAACUGGGUGCCUUGAGUGGGCGAGAAGUACGCGGAAUGCGUGGUGUAGCGGUGAAAUGCAUAGAUAUCACGCAGAACUCCGAUUGCGAAGGCAGCGUACCGGCGCCCAACUGACGCUGAAGCACGAAGGCGUGGGUAUCGAACAGGAUUAGAUACCCUGGUAGUCCACGCAGUAAACGAUGAAUGCUAGUUGUCCGGGGCGAUUGAGUUCUGG
rnacentral:rRNA from 1 species